rnacentral:lncRNA from 1 species
GAGAAAACUGUUAGGUGGAUUCAGGUUAGUGCAGCCAUACCAACGCGGACGAAUGGCUCGGAUUCAAUUCACGGUCACAAACUUUUAUAAGACAAUGGGUGAAAUUUUAAUAAAAGAAAAAGGCGAGAGAAGCAAAUGCAAAUAAUGCAUGGAGGACCGGUUGUGGACGACAUCCAGAUAUACGAAUGCCAUCCUUCACCCAACGGCAGGCCCCACCACGGGUAUGGUUGGCUCGGAAUGCUCCGUCCGGCCGGUAGCGGACACCGGGAUGCUCCAUCUUUCGGAAAUCUGGGAUUGCAAAGCGGAAUAAAUGCUGAAAUGAAAACCAAUACAACGCUACCAAUUCGGACCACUAUAGAUUAGG